rnacentral:rRNA from 1 species
CGCCCGCCGCGCGCGGCGGGCGGGGCGGGGGCACGGGGGGACUCCUACGGGAGGCAGCAGUGAGGAAUAUUGGUCAAUGGGCGCAAGCCUGAACCAGCCAUCCCGCGUGAAGGAUGAAUGCCUUAUGGGUUGUAAACUUCUUUUGUACCAGAAGAAAACCCCUGACGUGUCAGGGUUUGCCGGUAUGGUACGAAUAAGCAUCGGCUAACUCCGUGCCAGCAGCCGCGGUAAU